UGCAGAAUCAAGGUUUUGAUGUGUCACUGUCAGAUGCCAGUAGUGUUUUUGAUUCCAUAAAGGGACAACACUUGAAACACUUGCAGGAGUGGUUUCCCUGGUAGAUCCAGAGGUGGAUCAAUCAAGGCCUUUCCUAUGACCAUAA